rnacentral:rRNA from 1 species
UGGGGAAUUUUGGACAAUGGGCGCAAGCCUGAUCCAGCAAUGCCGCGUGCAGGAUGAAGGCCUUCGGGUUGUAAACUGCUUUUGUACGGAACGAAAAGCUUCUGGUUAAUACCUGGGAGUCAUGACGGUACCGUAAGAAUAAGCACCGGCUAACUACGUGCCAGCAGCCGCGGUAAUACGUAGGGCGCGAGCGUUAAUCGGAAUUACUGGGCGUAAAGCGUGCGCAGGCGGUUAUGUAAGACAGAGGUGAAAUCCCCGGGCUCAACCUGGGAACUGCCUUUGUGACUGCAUGGCUAGAGUGCGGCAGAGGGGGAUGGAAUUCCGCGUGUAGCAGUGAAAUGCGUAGAUAUGCGGAGAAACACCGAUGGCGAGGGCAAUCCCCUGGGCCUGCACUGACGCUCAUGCACGAAAGCGUGGGGAGCAAACA